rnacentral:rRNA from 1 species
UACAGAGGUCCCAAGCGUUGUUCGGAUUUACUGGGCGUAAAGGGUGCGUAGGUGGCGAGGUAAGUUCGAUGUGAAAUCUCCGAGCUCAACUCGGAAAUGGCAUUGAAUACUAUCCCGCUUGAGGGUCGGAGGGGAGACUGGAAUUCUCGGUGUAGCAGUGAAAUGCGUAGAUAUCGAGAGGAACACCAGUGGCGAAGGCGAGUCUCUGGACGACUCCUGACACUGAGGCACGAAAGCUAGGGGAGCAAACGGG